rnacentral:rRNA from 1 species
UGGGGAAUAUUGCACAAUGGGCGAAAGCCUGAUGCAGCAACGCCGCGUGAGUGAUGAAGGCCUUCGGGUUGUAAAGCUCUGUCUUUUGGGACGAUAAUGACGGUACCAAAGGAGGAAGCCACGGCUAACUACGUGCCAGCAGCCGCGGUAAUACGUAGGUGGCAAGCGUUGUCCGGAUUUACUGGGCGUAAAGGAUGCGUAGGCGGAUUUUUAAGUGAGAUGUGAAAACCCUAAGCUUAACUUGGGGACUGCAUUUCAUACUGGAAAUCUAGAGUGCGGGAGAGGAGAAUGGAAUUCCUAGUGUAGCGGUGAAAUGCGUAGAGAUUAGGAAGAACACCAGUGGCGAAGGCGAUUCUCUGGACCGUAACUGACGCUGAGGCAUGAAAGCGUGGGUAGCAAACAGGAUUAGAUACCCUGGUAGUCCACGCCGUAAACGAUGAGUACUAGGUGUAGGAGGUAUCGACCCCUUCUGUGCCGCAGUUAACACAAUAAGUACUCCGCCUGGGAAGUACGAUCGC